rnacentral:rRNA from 1 species
UACGUAGGGUGCGAGCGUUGUCCGGAAUUAUUGGGCGUAAAGAGCUCGUAGGCGGUGUGUCACGUCGGCCGUGAAAACCUGCAGCUUAACCGUGGGCGUGCGGUCGAUACGGGCAUCACUGGAGUUCGGCAGGGGAGACUGGAAUUCCUGGUGUAGCGGUGAAAUGCGCAGAUAUCAGGAGGAACACCGGUGGCGAAGGCGGGUCUCUGGGCCGAUACUGACGCUGAGGAGCGAAAGCGUGGGGAGCAAACAGG